GACAGAGGGUGCAAACGUUGCUCGGAAUUACUGGGCGUAAAGCGCGUGUAGGCUGACCGGAAAGUCGGGCGUGAAAGCCCUGGGCUCAACCCAGGAACUGCACUCGAAACUCCCGGUCUAGAGUGGUGGAGAGGGAAGUGGAAUUCCUGGUGUAGAGGUGAAAUUCGUAGAGAUCGGGAGGAACACCCGUGGCGAAGGCGGCCAUCUGGACCAGCACUGACGCUGAGGCACGAAAGCGUGGGGAGCAAACAGG
rnacentral:rRNA from 1 species